UACGUAGGGUGCAAGCGUUGUCCGGAAUUAUUGGGCGUAAAGAGCUCGUAGGCGGUUUGUCGCGUCUGCUGUGAAAACCCGAGGCUCAACCUCGGGCCUGCAGUGGGUAUGGGCAGACUAGAGUGCGGUAGGGGAGAUUGGAAUUCCUGGUGUAGCGGUGGAAUGCGCAGAUAUCAGGAGGAACACCAAUGGCGAAGGCAGAUCUCUGGGCCGUAACUGACGCUGAGGAGCGAAAGCAUGGGGAGCGAACAGG
rnacentral:rRNA from 1 species